GACGAACGCUAGCGGCGUGCCUAAGAAAUGCAAGUCGAGCGAGGUUAGAGAGCUUGCUCUCGAAGCCUAGCGGCGAACGGUCGCGUAACACGUAAGCAACCUGCCCUAAAGUUGGGGAUAGCCCUCCGAAAGGGGGAUUAAUACCGAAUGUGGAUAUUAUCUCGCAUGUGAUGAUAUCUAAAGCAGUAAUGCGCUUUAGGAUGGGCUUGCGGCCUAUCAGCUAGUUGGUGGGGUAAAGGCCUACCAAGGCGACGACGGGUAGCUGGUCUGAGAGGAUGGUCAGCCGGACUGGGACUGAGAUACGGCCCAGACUCCUACGGGGGGCAGCAAUUAGGAAUCUUGCGCAAUGGGCGAAAGCCUGACGCAGCGACGCCGCGUGACUGAUGAAGUCUUUCGGGAUGUAAAAGUCUUUUCUGAGGGAAGAAGGAAUGUGACGGUACCUCAGGAAUAAAGCCCGGCUAACUACGUGCCAGCAGCGCGGUAAUGAGUAGUACAC
rnacentral:rRNA from 1 species